GCCUAACUGAUAUUAACUUAGAGAAACAUAGAAAUAAGUGUACUCUAAUCUAACCCCUAGCCAUACUACUGUAUCCCAAAACAUUUUCGGCCCACAAUUUUUUAUCUCUUCAAAAUGGCUUCCUUUUCCGUCUGCUAUUCUCAGAUGUGGAAGAAAGGGAUUGGAAUAUAAGUUCUACAAUCAGUUGGAGCGAAUACUUGGUCAUGAAGCGGUCUCCAUUGAUGAGUAUGAUGAAAGAGAUGAUCAAACAGUAGACCAGGACACAGGUGCUGAUGGGAUGUGAUACACCCCGUGGUCAGAGCCAGAGACGCUGGGCCUCAAUGAGCUGUGGGGGAAUGAGGGGUCCAGACGAGCCACCGAGGUUGCGUCCGCAAUGGGCACAUUUUCGCCGACAUCGCGGAGAAGCUGGCCUCCAUGGGGCAUUUCAAAACGGCUGAGCAGUGCCACUCGAGGGUUAAGCGGCUGAGAAUAACCUAUCGACGGUGUCUCCACAGCAGGACGUAAGUGGAAAGCACAGAUCAUUUGUGGGUAAGGCGAGUCAUGGUGCCUAAAUUGAGAAUUGUUACAAAUGAAUCCUUCAUCUCCCACUGUUCUCCACCUCCCUCUAUCUCUGCUCGUACCUACGGAAAUGGAGGGGAGCCCUUACUCUUCAGAUACUACAGGUUCCUGGAGCCGGUGCUAAGCAAUGACACUCUCUACCUCGAUGCAGAGAUUGCUUAUUUGUGUGAUGACUUCAAUCCAGAUCCCACUGAAGGAGCAGAUCAGGAAACAUGUAUGGUGCCUCCUCAUCAUCCUUACCCUCUAUGGACGUUUCUUUUUUUCCCAGCCAGUUACGCUGUGACAGAGUCCAGCAGAAAGAUGCCCUGGCCUGAUCGGGAGACCCAGGCUCUGCUGGAGGUCUGGGGUGAGGACUAUGUGUAGCUCUUCCUCUGCGGCUGCUUGAAGAACAGACACGUGUUUGAGUACAUCUCACAGAGGAUGACGGCACAGGGGUUCAUCAGGACGGCUGAGCACUGCCACACCCCCAUCAAACGACUCAAGCCAAGCUUCCACCAUGACAAAAGGGAAUGUAAGUUCUACGACCAGAUGGAGGAGAUUUUCUCGAGGGAGCUCAACGUCCACAGUUUGGCCGAAGAUUCGUUAGACAAUGAGGAAGCUGCUGUCUGGGAGUCUACACAUGAAGUUGACCAAAGGAAAGCUAGCCCUAUUUUAACUGACGGCUCCAAGUUCAACUGGAGCGACAGUAACCCAGGUCAUCCUCAGUAUCUGGGGGAGUGACGAGGUACAGGAGGGUCUGAAGGGCUGAACCAAAAACAGACACAUUUUCACCGAGAUCUCUCAGGCAAUGGCCAACGAGGGCUACCUGAGGACAGCCGAACAGUGCCAGUCUAGAGUGAGCUGCUAAAGGCAACUUCCGCCAGCUCUGUGAGAGCAAACAGAUUGGAGGGGAAAAGGUGGAGUGCAAAUUCUACGAUCAGUUUGUGCAAAUAUUCGGGAACAAGUAUAUAUCCUGUGACUCUCUGGCUGAGGAACCAAAUGACGCCACAGACGUGGGAGAGGUCCCAGGUGGCCAAGUCCAAGAAACAGGUAAGGAAACAAUCUCCUAAUCUUUCAUUAUACUAUAAACGUUGGGCCUUUGUUUUUUUUGUAUUUAUUUCAGGCUCUCCAGAAUCAGGCAGCUGUCCAUCACCAUGGGAACUAGAUCUCCCCUGGAGCAUUGAGGAGACUGAAGCCCUCCUCGACAUAUUGGUCAGUGACAGAAUCCAAGUGGACCUGAGGGGAAACACUGAACUGGAACACAUUCAUACAGAGAUCUCUCAAAUGAUGGCUGACCAGGGCUUCAUGAAAACAGCAGAGCAGUGCCAGACAAGGUCAACGCAACUGAACCUGAGUAUUAUUUCAUUCUUACGACGAGGAAGCAUUUGUUUUACAUUUUUUAUUCAACCUUUAUGUAACUAGGCAAGUCAGUUAAGAACAAAUUCUUAUUGAGGACCAGGACGAGGCUGGGCCAAUUGUGUGCCACCUUAUGGGACUCCCAGUCACGUCCGGAUGUGAUGCAGCCUGGAUUAGGGAUCAUCUGAAAGACAGUUUUGUAGCGCCACAGGAAAGCUGCAAUGACUCAACAAUGACUUUGGAAAAGAGGUUUAUUAACAAUUACAAAGACCUGUCUCCUGCGUUGUUUUAAGAGAGGUACUGUAUUCUAUCAAAGAGGCACUGUUGCUUUGUUGGAUAUUGCUGAAGGGACUCAACAUCCAUCCUACGUUUUCUGUUGGAAAUCAGACACAUGUAUUUAACCUUUGUAUAGAUGCUUAAAUCUAAGUGAAAUGGACUAUCUGAAUGUUCUUUGUCAUGUAUGUCACAGUAAGUGCACAUGUGUUGUGACAUAAGGUCCUUUUCACUAAACGUAACAAAACCUU